rnacentral:rRNA from 1 species
UACAGAGGGGGCAAGCGUUGUUCGGAAUUACUGGGCGUAAAGGGCGCGUAGGCGGCCCGCUAAGUCGAACGUGAAAUCCCCGAGCUCAACUCGGGAACUGCGUCCGAUACUGGCGGGCUUGAAUCCGGGAGAGGGAUGCGGAAUUCCAGGUGUAGCGGUGAAAUGCGUAGAUAUCUGGAGGAACACCGGUGGCGAAGGCGGCAUCCUGGACCGGCAUUGACGCUGAGGCGCGAAAGCUAGGGGAGCAAAUGGG